rnacentral:rRNA from 1 species
AGUGAACGCUGGCGGUAGGCCUAACACAUGCAAGUCGAACGGCAGCACAGUAAGAGCUUGCUCUUACGGGUGGCGAGUGGCGGACGGGUGAGGAAUACAUCGGAAUCUACUUUUUCGUGGGGGAUAACGUAGGGAAACUUACGCUAAUACCGCAUACGACCUACGGGUAAAAGCAGGGGAUCUUCGGACCUUGCGGGAUUGAAUGAGCCGAUGUCGGAUUAGCUAGUUGGCGGGGUAAAGGCCCACCAAGGCGACGAUCCGUAGCUGGUCUGAGAGGAUGAUCAGCCACACUGGAACUGAGACACGGUCCAGACUCCUACGGGAGGCAGCAGUGGGGAAUAUUGGACAAUGGGCGCAAGCCUGAUCCAGCCAUACCGCGUGGGUGAAGAAGGCCUUCGGGUUGUAAAGCCCUUUUGUUGGGAAAGAAAAGCAGCAGGUUAAUACCCCGCUGUUCUGACGGUACCCAAAGAAUAAGCACCGGCUAACUUCGUG